rnacentral:rRNA from 1 species
GGCGAUCAGAUACCGCCCUAGUUCUGACCGUAAACGAUGCCAACUAGCGAUCUGCCGGUGGAUUCCUUGCCCUGGUAGGGAGCUUCCCGGAAACGAAAGUCUUCCGGUUCCGGGGGAAGUAUGGUUGCAAAGCUGAAACUUAAAGGAAUUGACGGAAGGGCACCACCAGGAGUGGAGCCUGCGGCUUAAUUUGACUCAACACGGGGAAACUCACCCGGCCCGGACACCGUAAGGAUUGACAGAUUGAUAGCUUUUUCAUGAUUCGGUGGAUGGUGGUGCAUGGCCGUUCUUAGUUCGUGGAGCGAUUUGUCUGGUUUAUUCCGAUAACGAGCGAGACUCUAGCCUACUAAAUAGUUCGCACAUUGUCUCUGUGUGUGUGACUUCUUAGAGGGAUUUUCGGUGUUCAGCCGCACGAAAUUGAGCAAUAACAGGUCUGUGAUGCCCUUAGAUGUCCGGGGCUGCACGCGCGCUACACUGGCAAAAUCAGCGUGCUUGUCCUUCCCCGAAAGGGGUUGGUAAACCCUUGAAAAUUUGCCGUGAUUGGGAUUGGAAAUUGCAAUUAUUUUCCAUGAACGAGGAAUUCCAAGUAAGUGCGAGUCAUCAGCUCGCGUUGAUUACGUCCCUGCCCUUUGUA